GAUGAAGAACGUAGCGAAAUGCGAUAAGUAGUGUGAAUUGCAGAAUUCAGUGAAUCAUCGAAUCUUUGAACGCACAUUGCGCCCCUUGGUAUCCCGAGGGGCAUGCCUGUUCGAGCGUCAUUUCACCACUCAAGCCUGGCUUGGUGUUGGGCGACGUCCUCUUUUGGGACGCGCCUCGAAACGCUCGGCGGCGUGGCACCGGCUUUAAGCGUAGCAGAAUCUUUCGCUUUGGAAGUCGGGGCCCCGUCUGCCGGAAGACCUGCUCGCAAGGUUGACCUCGGAUCAGGCAGGGAUACCCGCUGAACUUAAGCAUAUCAAUAAGCGGAGGA
rnacentral:misc_RNA from 1 species